CAAUGCCUUUUUGUGUUUUCUGUCAAUUCUCCAAACUUAAAUGUGAACCAUUAGAGCACUUAUCAUAUUGCAUUUUAAUUACAGGUCUCCUUGCCAUCUCUCUGGUCUUCCAGACUGUGGAAUCUUCCUUUAGCACCAUCUUUUAUUAGCCUUUUAAACAAAGCACCUGUCAUAAAGUCUGGUCCACAAUAGACACUCUAUAAGUGGGAGCUUAAAAUCUGCAAGUGAAUACAAACAUCAAACAGCCACAGAAUGGCCUUGAAGCAGAGGAUAAUGUUGCAUUAAUGUACAGCAAAAUUCUCAGCACCAAACACAGGGAUCUGCAGCUGUCCGGAGGGACACUACUAGAAUACUCAAGGCUCCCUCUAAGUGGCAACAAUUGCAACUUCAAGAAACCCUGGCAAUCAUAGAAAACAGAUGAAUCCUCGCUGCUGCAAGAUCUGUUACUGGAUUCUGAUUUGGUCCCGCCUGGAUCAGGGGGUCACCAUGAGACCAAUCACCUUCUGAGAUGGGAGAGUCAAGCCCGCCCCUGAGACCAGGGAAGUAGGACAAAGAGACUGGCACACAAGCUUUGCUGAAGUUUAUGUGGAUACAGGACAGGUUGCCACGAGAAGUCGUCCGGGCAGCACAGACCCCUGACGGUGCAGGAAUGGAGGCAUCCAUGAAGGUCAAUGCCAACAACCAAGGUCCUUGGCAGCUCCCGCCAGCCCUGCCUGCUGCAGAAGAGAUGGGACUUGCAAAGUAGUGUAAACAAUAACAGAAAUGUCGGAGUCUCCUCUGUUGCUAAAUGCUUUGCUGGGGAUAGUUAAGAAAUCGUCACAAAUCUCUGUUCUUGGGCACCCGUUCAGAGGCCUGGAAACCCUAACCGAAGGGGAGCAUCGGGGUUCCAGUUUGCUGAAAUGCAGCCUCUGUUCCCUUCGCAGGGAGGGAGAUCAUUUUCUGCUCAUCUUUCAAUCGGAUUAAUAGGAGGAAGGCUCUACUAUGGCAAACAGAGCUCAUGACUUGCUGGAUAGCCUGGGGCAAGCCAACAGCCCUGACCGUCCCUAUUCUGGGUGGCACCCACAGCCGGGUUGUGGGGUUCAGACAGGAAGUUUCAUGUGAACUCUCAGCACCAUGCAAACAGGAGCAAUCCAGCCAUAAGUUACUUAUUUCUAAAAAAACUGCUGGUCAUCAUUUCAUAUUUCUUUACUGCCUCAUAAACAUGGUAGAACUUCCCAAUCUCUAGCGGUAUAAUUAUUUUUUAAGAUUUAUUUUAUUUGUUUGAAAGAGUUACAGAGAAAGGUAGAGCCAUAGGGAGAGAAAGGUCUUGCAUCUGCUGGUUCACUCCCCCCAGAUGGCUGCAAUGGCCUGAGCUGCGCUGAUCCAAAGCCAGGAGCCAGGAGCUUCUUCUGGGUCUCCCACGUGGGUGCAGGGGCCCAAGGACUUGGGCCAUCUUCCAUUGUUUUCCCAGGCCAUAGCAGACAGCUGGAUCAGAAGUGGAGCAGCCGGGACUUGAACCGGUGCCCAUACGGGAUGCUGGCACUGCAGGCGGCAGCUUUACCUGCUACACCACAAUGUCGGCCCCCUGGUGGUAUAAUUUCAAGCUUUGAUAGUGGCAUCACAGGCAGAGUUCCUAAAGGUAGACCACUAAGAAGGGAAAUGGCAAUGGUAGAUCUCACCACAAGGUGGCACUAUUGAAGACCUUUCUUUGCCUUGAUGACAACAGACAGGACACUGGAGGGAUGGGGUCAAGAGUAUUAAGGAGGCCUGUGUACCACAUGUUUAAUUAUUUAAGAGUUAAAUCAAUCUAGUACAGAGGGUCAAUAGAAUAUGCUUCCUAUCUUGCAAAACAUCUUCCUAAUGCAAUGGUAGGUCAAGUGCAAAUUUAGAACUCUGAGACUCCUCAAUUGUGGGCUGAACUGGGUGGCGUCCAGCCUCCCACCGCUGCCAGCCUUGCCUGUGCCCCGAGGGCCUUGCACAUGAACUUCCCAAUGCCAUCCAUAUCCCUGUGCCCUCAGCAUGGGGCCACCCUGCGGCCUGUGCAGGAUCUGGAAGCUCGCGGCAGGGGAGGGGGCAGUUGUGCAGGGGCUGGUGAGGCCCUGGGACCCAGACAGGUCUGCAUCAGGGGUCAGCUGCUUCUCUGUAAAGGGUGAGGUGGUAACUGUUGGGGUGUUAUGGGUAAGAUGGUCUCUGUCACAGUGAUGUGUAUCAUGAAGUAGCCCUCGGCAAGACAUAAGUGAGUGGGUGUGGCUGUGUUCCAUACUGGAGUGCUUGGUUCAAGUCCUGAUUACCCUGCUUCUGAUCCAGCUUCCUGUUAAUGUGCACCCUGAUAGGCAGCAAGUGAUGGCUCGCGCACCUGGGACCCUGCCACUCAUGUAGGACACCUGGAUUAAG